UACGUAGGGUGCAAGCGUUGUCCGGAAUUGUUGGGCGUAAAGCGCUCGUAGGCGGUUUGUUAAGUCGGCUGUGAAAUCCCGAGGCUCAACCUCGGGUCUGCAGUCGAUACGAGUAAACUAGAGUGUUGCAGGGGAGACUGGAAUUCCUGGUGUAGCGGUGAAAUGCGCAGAUAUCAGGAGGAACACCGGUGGCGAAGGCGGGUCUCUGGGCAACAACUGACGCUGAGGAGCGAAAGCGUGGGGAGCGAACAGG
rnacentral:rRNA from 1 species